AUUGAACGCUGGCGGCAUGCCUUACACAUGCAAGUCGAACGGCAGCACGGGUGCUUGCACCUGGUGGCGAGUGGCGAACGGGUGAGUAAUACAUCGGAACAUGUCCUGUAGUGGGGGAUAGCCCGGCGAAAGCCGGAUUAAUACCGCAUACGAUCUACGGAUGAAAGCGGGGGACCUUCGGGCCUCGCGCUAUAGGGUUGGCCGAUGGCUGAUUAGCUAGUUGGUGGGGUAAAGGCCUACCAAGGCGACGAUCAGUAGCUGGGCUGAGAGGACGACCAGCCACACUGGGACUGAGACACGGCCCAGACUCCUACGGGAGGCAGCAGUGGGGAAUUUUGGACAAUGGGCGAAAGCCUGAUCCAGCAAUGCCGCGUGUGUGAAGAAGGCCUUCGGGUUGUAAAGCACUUUUGUCCGGAAAGAAAUCCUUGGCCCUAAUACGGUCGGGGGAUGACGGUACCGGAAGAAUAAGCACCGGCUAACUACGUG
rnacentral:rRNA from 1 species